GGUUGAUCCUGCCAGUAGUCAUAUGCUUGUCUUAAAGACUAAGCCAUGCAUGUCUAAGUAUAAAUAAUAUACAGUGAAACUGCGAAUGGCUCAUUAAAACAGUUAUAGUUUAUUCGAUAAUCUUUCUACAUGGAUAACCGUAGUAAUUCUAGAGCUAAUACAUGCUGCUAAACCUGACUUCUGGAAGGGUUGUAUUUAUUAGAUAUAAACCAAUGCCCUCGGGCGUUGUGAUGAUUCAUAAUAACUGAGCGAAUCGAGGCCGUGCCUUGAUGGAUCGUUCAAGUUUCUGCC
rnacentral:rRNA from 1 species